rnacentral:piRNA from 1 species
UUUCUCUCUAUGGUGUCAUGACAAAUGC